ensembl:lncRNA LINC02395 long intergenic non-protein coding RNA 2395
GGUACAACAGAGACAGCUGUUUGUCCCCCAGUAUCCUUCAGACAAAGCCAUAUAUGAUUGAAGGUUAUCAGUACUGUGCUUUUGGAGGAUUCAGAAGAAGUUAUAUCUGAUUGGGAGAUUGAAAAGGAUUGGCCUGAAGGAGAGGUGGUUUUUGAACUGCAUCUUAAAGGAUGAGGAAACUGAGGCUGAGAGGGUAGAGAACUUUGCCUGAGGUCACUCAGCAGGGACCCACCCAUCACAGUAAAUGCCAGCACUGCUGAUGCCAAAACAAUGUUAUUUGUAGGCCCUCGGAAUUUGUGACCUGAAGGAAGAAGAGCAGGGCCGUGGGAAGUAUGUAACCAGUGUCAUGCCCCUGGUCCCAAGGAAGCAGUGGCUUGGCCUGAACACCCUGUCCUACCUGGUCCUACCUGGAUGCUGGCCUCAGUAAGCUCCUGGGCUCAUUGAAGAUGAACCUAGCAGUAGUAUUUACACCACUUGUUGUGUGCCCACUGUGGGCCCGGCGCCAUGCCGAGUGCUCUAUGGAUGUGAGAUGAGAACACUGAAGCAGUUUUUUCUAAAGAUAGCUGCCUGGCACAGUGGCUCACAUCUGUAGUCCCAGCAUUUGGGGAGGCCAAGGCAGGUGGAUCACUUGAGGCCAGGAAUUCAAGACCAGCAUGGCCAACAUGUGCUGGGAGAGAAAAGCAUACGACAUAGACAGGGAGGUCAAGCUCCACCACGCAGAUGAGGUGCAGGCCACCAGUCUUCCUCUGCCACAUCUCUUUCUGAAAAGGGUGCCUCAGGCUUGGAGCAUCCCGGAGCCAGUUACAACCCAAGACUUCAGCCUUCUGGAAGGUGUUGGGUCAGCCACCCUGAAGGACGAUCCUGCCCAAGUGACAUGCUUUGCUCUUCCUUCUCACCCAGGACUUCACAUUCACCCUUGCAAUCCAUGUGGGGACACUGUUGGAUAGGAGGCGUGGUCCCAGCGUGGUCUCCCUGUCUGGGCCUCUGCCUAUGCCAAAUGUUUGCCUUACGCUGCACACUCAAGAGGUUCCAUGUAUACAGAUGGGAAUUCCAGAGCUACAGAAAAGGCAGCAAGCACCAUGAUUUAAGCUAACCAGUGUGGAUUCACACCUUCCUCUCUCUCUAUCAGUGGCAGAACUACCAGCUAGAGUAAGAAGUGGUUGAUCCAGGACCUAAACAUUCUGGAAACUCUUGCCCACUUCUGGGAGAAAUGACCCAAUCCAUAGUACUAAGCACACCUUAACUUUCGUAGGACGCAGGCAAGUUGUCAUACCGUGUGCCUAAAUAUAGAAAAAUGAUCCACUGGACUAAUAAAGUGUUAAAUAAAA